UUGCAAUUCUCACCACCGUUGUAAAAAAAUCACACAAAUGCUCCGAUGACGGCUAUGAUUGUCACCAUCCACAAUUAACCUUCCCUGAUCCUACCACAAGAGGACCUUAUGGGCUGACCCCAACGAGCGCAGCGGGCAUCUCCCAGUCCAGCCCCCCACCAUCUACCCCACCGGACAUUGGCACUAACCUUCCUCCAUCACCUCCUCCUCUUCUGCUGUCACCCCCGACGCUUUCCCUGCCUCCUCCUGCUGUGCCUGCUAUAACUGGGGCGCCACCUCCUAAUAAUCCGCCGAGUAGUACUGUGUUGGUGACUCCAGGUCCUGUUCAUGCUUAGCGUAGCUUAGCUUAUGGUAGCUGUACCUUUUGUGUCAUGGCUUUUUUUAUUGUAUUUAAAAAAAAAAAACAUUGUGAAUAAAUUUUUUUAUGGGUUUGUACAGGGGAUGGUUCGGUGGGUUGUGGAUUGUAUUGUCGAAUUUCGAGCAUUAGUGAAUUUACAGAACUGUCCCUGAUCUUUUGAUUAAAAAAUAUGAUGUUAUUGAUUCUUUGC